rnacentral:tRNA from 1 species
GUCAGGAUGGCCGAGCGGUCUAAGCUCCAGACUCAAGGUUUAAUUCCUUUUCAUGAUGCAUUUCAGAGUGUUCUUGUCUCCUAAUGGAGGCGUGGGUUGGAAUCCCACUUCUGACA